rnacentral:rRNA from 1 species
CCUACGGGUGGCUGCAGUGGGGAAUAUUGCGCAAUGGACGAAAGUCUGACGCAGCGACGCCGCGUGAGGGAUGAAGGUUUUCGGAUCGUAAACCUCUGUCAGGAGGGAAGAAAGCACAUGGCGCCAAUCAGCCAUGCGUUGACGGUACCUCCAAAGGAAGCGCCGGCUAACUCCGUGCCAGCAGCCGCGGUAAUACGGAGGAUGCGAGCGUUAUCCGGAUUUAUUGGGUUUAAAGGGUGCGUAGGCGGACUGUUAAGUCAGCGGUAAAAGCCCGGGGCGCAACCCCGGCGAGCCGUUGAAACUGGCUGUCUUGAGAUGUCGAGAGGUAUGCGGAAUGCGCAGUGUAGCGGUGAAAUGCUUAGAUAUUGCGCAGAACUCCGAUUGCGAAGGCAGCAUACCGGCGGCGAUCUGACGCUGAGGCACGAAAGCGUGGGUAUCGAACAGGAUUAGAUACCCUUGUAGUC